rnacentral:rRNA from 1 species
UACAGAGGUCUCAAGCGUUGUUCGGAUUCAUUGGGCGUAAAGGGUGUGUAGGUGGCGCCGUAAGUCGGGUGUGAAAUUUCGGAGCUUAACUCCGAAACUGCAUUCGAUACUGCGGUGCUUGAGGACUGGAGAGGAGACUGGAAUUCAUGGUGUAGCAGUGAAAUGCGUAGAUAUCGGGAGGAACACCUGUGGCGAAAGCGGCUCACUGGACCACAACUGACGCUGAGGCGCGAAAGCUAGGGGAGCAAACAGG